GACGAACGCUGGCGGCGUGCUUAACACAUGCAAGUCGAACGGUAAGGCCCUUCGGGGUACACGAGUGGCGAACGGGUGAGUAACACGUGGGUGAUCUGCCCUGCACUUCGGGAUAAGCCUGGGAAACUGGGUCUAAUACCGGAUAGGACCACUGCCUGCAUGGGUGGUGGUGGAAGGCUUUUGCGGUGUGGGAUGGGCCCGCGGCCUAUCAGCUUGUUGGUGGGGUGAUGGCCUACCAAGGCGACGACGGGUAGCCGGCCUGAGAGGGUAACCGGUCACACUGGGACUGAGAUACGGCCCAGAUUCCUACGGGAGGCAGCAGUGGGGAAUAUUGCACAAUGGGCGCAAGCCUGAUGCAGCGACGCCGCGUGAGGGAUGACGGCCUUCGGGUUGUAAACCUCUUUCAGCUAUGACGAAGCGCAAGUGACGGUAGUAGCAGAAGAAGGACCGGCCAACUACGUGCCAGCCGCCGCAGUAA
rnacentral:rRNA from 1 species